rnacentral:rRNA from 1 species
GAUGAACGCUAGCGGCAGGCUUAACACAUGCAAGUCGAGGGGUAGAGGAAGCUUGCUCCCUUGAGACCGGCGCACGGGUGCGUAACGCGUAUGCAACCUACCUUUUACAGAGGGAUAGCCCAGAGAAAUUUGGAUUAAUACCUCAUAGUAUAUAGUCUUCGCAUGUUGACUAUAUUAAAGUUCCAACGGUAAAAGAUGGGCAUGCGUCCUAUUAGCUAGAUGGUAAGGUAACGGCUUACCAUGGCAACGAUAGGUAGGGGUCCUGAGAGGGAGAUCCCCCACACUGGUACUGAGACACGGACCAGACUCCUACGGGAGGCAGCAGUGAGGAAUAUUGGACAAUGGGCGCAAGCCUGAUCCAGCCAUGCCGCGUGCAGGAAGAAGCAUCUAUGGUGUGUAAACUGCUUUUGUACAGGAAGAAACACCCCGACGUGUCGGGACUUGACGGUACUGUAAGAAUAAGGAUCGGCUAACUUCGUGCCAGCAGCCGCGGUAAUAC